UACGGGGGGAGCAAGCGUUGUUCGGAUUUACUGGGCGUAAAGGGCGCGUAGGCGGCGCGACAAGCCACUUGUGAAAUCUCCGGGCCUUAACUCGGAACGGUCAAGUGAUACUGUCGUGCUAGAGUACAGAAGGGGCAACUGGAAUUCUCGGUGUAGCGGUGAAAUGCGUAGAUAUCGAGAGGAACACCUGCGGCGAAGGCGGGUUGCUGGGCUGAUACUGACGCUGAGGCGCGAAAGCUAGGGGAGCGAACGGG
rnacentral:rRNA from 1 species